rnacentral:rRNA from 1 species
CACGUAGGGCGCAAGCGUUGUCCGGAAUUAUUGGGCGUAAAGAGCUCGUAGGCGGUCUGUUACGUCUGCUGUGAAAACCCAGGGCUUAACCCUGGGCUUGCAGUGGAUACGGGCAGACUAGAGGCAGGUAGGGGAGAAUGGAAUUCCCGGUGUAGCGGUGAAAUGCGCAGAUAUCGGGAGGAACACCAAUGGCGAAGGCAGCUCGCUGGGACGUGACUGACGCUGAGACGCGAAAGCGUGGGGAGCAAACAGG